AGUGAACGCUGGCGGUAUGCCUAACACAUGCAAGUCGAACGGCAGCACAGUAAGAGCUUGCUCUUAUGGGUGGCGAGUGUCGUACGUGUGAGGAAUACAUCGGACUCUACUUUUUCGUGGGGGAUAACGUAGGGAAACUGACGCUAAUACCGCAUACGACCUACGGGUUAAACCAGGCGAUCUUCGUACCUUGCGCGAUUGAAUGAGCCGAUGUCGGAUUAGCUAGUUGGCGGGGUAAAGGCCCACCAAUGCGAGGAUCCGUAACUCGUCUGAGAGGAAGAUCAGCCACACUGGAACUGAGACACGGUCGAGACACCUACGGGAGGCAGCAGUGGGGAAUAUUGGACGAUGGGCGCAAGCGUGAUCCAGCCAUACCGCGUGGGUGAAGAAGGAGUGAGGGUUGUAGAGUCAUUUUGUUGGGAAAGAAAAGAAGCAGGUUAAUCACCCGCUGUUCUGACGGUACCUAACGAAUAAGCACCGGCUAACUUCGUG
rnacentral:rRNA from 1 species